rnacentral:sRNA from 1 species
UUGUAAGAUGAUUUAUGCAUCUACAUUA